rnacentral:rRNA from 1 species
UACGAAGGGUGCAAGCGUUACUCGGAAUUAUUGGGCGUAAAGCGCGCGCAGGCGGUUCUUUAAGUCUGAUGUGAAAGCCCACGGCUCAACCGUGGAGGGUCAUUGGAAACUGGAGAACUUGAGUACAGAAGAGGAAAGCGGAAUUCCACGUGUAGCGGUGAAAUGCGUAGAGAUGUGGAGGAACACCAGUGGCGAAGGCGGCUUUCUGGUCUGUAACUGACGCUGAGGCGCGAAAGCGUGGGGAGCAAACAGG